CAAAUACUCCCUCCGUCCGGAAAUACUUGUCAUCAAAAUGGAUAAAAGGAAAUGUAUCUAGACGUAUUUUAGUUUUAGAUACAUCUCUUUUUAUCCAUUUUGAUGACAAGUAUCUUCGGACGGAGGGAGUAGAAA
rfam:Triticum aestivum genome assembly, contig: Triticum_aestivum_CS42_TGACv1_scaffold_067629_1DL